rnacentral:tRNA from 1 species
UCUAUCCCCAAAAAAGCCUUAUUUGACUCCCAAAAUAUUUAACCUAUCCC